GGACGAACGCUGGCGGCGCGCCUAACACAUGCAAGUCGAACGAGCGAGAGAGAGCUUGCUUUCUCGAGCGAGUGGCGAACGGGUGAGUAACGCGUGAGGAACCUGCCUCAAAGAGGGGGACAACAGUUGGAAACGACUGCUAAUACCGCAUAAGCCCACGGCUCGGCAUCGAGCAGGGGGAAAAGGAGCAAUUCGCUUUGAGAUGGCCCCGCGUCCGAUUAGCUAGUUGGUGGGGUAACGGCCCACCAAGGCGACGAUCGGUAGCCGGACUGAGAGGUUGAACGGCCACAUUGGGACUGAGACACGGCCCAGACUCCUACGGGAGGCAGCAGUGGGGAAUAUUGCACAAUGGGGGAAACCCUGAUGCAGCGACGCCGCGUGGAGGAAGAAGGUCUUCGGAUUGUAAACUCCUGUUGUUGGGGAAGAUAAUGACGGUACCCAACAAGGAAGUGACGGCUAACUACGUG
rnacentral:rRNA from 1 species